rnacentral:rRNA from 1 species
GACGAACGCUGGCGGCGUGCCUAACACAUGCAAGUCGAGCGAGUGAAUUUCCUUCGGGAUUGAAGCUAGCGGCGGACGGGUGAGUAACCCGUGGGCAACCUGCCUCAGAGAGGGGAAGAGCCUUUCGAAAGGAAGAUUAAUACCGCAUAAGAUUGUAGCUUCGUAUGAAGUAGCAAUUAAAGGAGCAAUCCGCUAUGAGAUGGGCCCGCGGCGCAUUAGCUAGUUGGUGAGGUAACGGCUCACCAAGGCGACGAUGCGUAGCCGACCUGAGAGGGUGAUCGGCCACAUUGGGACUGAGACACGGCCCAGACUCCUACGGGAGGCAGCAGUGGGGAAUAUUGCACAAUGGGGGAAACCCUGAUGCAGCAACGCCGCGUGAGUGAUGACGGCCUUCGGGUUGUAAAGCUCUGUCUUCAGGGACGAUAAUGACGGUACCUGAGGAGGAAGCCACGGCUAACUACGUGCCAGCAGCCGCAGUAAUAC